rnacentral:rRNA from 1 species
UACGUAGGGCGCAAGCGUUGUCCGGAAUUAUUGGGCGUAAAGAGCUCGUAGGCGGUUUGUCGCGUCUGUCGUGAAAGCCCACGGCUUAACCGUGGGUCUGCGGUGGAUACGGGCAGACUAGAGGCAGGUAGGGGAGAAUGGAAUUCCCGGUGUAGCGGUGAAAUGCGCAGAUAUCGGGAGGAACACCGGUGGCGAAGGCGGUUCUCUGGGCCUGUACUGGACGCUGAGGAGCGAAAGCGUGGGGAGCGAACAGGAUUAGAUACCCCGUGUAA